rnacentral:rRNA from 1 species
UACGUAGGGUGCGAGCGUUAAUCGGAAUUACUGGGCGUAAAGCGUGCGCAGGCGGUUCGUUGUGUCGGCGGUGAAAGCCCCGGGCUAACCUGGGAAUGGCCGUUGAAACUGGCGAACUGGAGUUGUGGCAGAGGGGGGUGGAAUCCGCGGUGUAGCAGUGAAAUGCGUAGAGAUGCGGAGGAACACCGAUGGCGAAGGCAGCCCCCCUGGGCUAACACUGACGCUCAGGCAACGAAAGCGUGGGGAGCAAACAGGGA